rnacentral:rRNA from 1 species
CCUACGGGUGACAGCAGUGAGGAAUAUUGGUCAAUGGACGAGAGUCUGAACCAGCCAAGUAGCGUGAAGGAUGACUGCCCUAUGGGUUGUAAACUUCUUUUAUAUGGGAAUAAAAUGUUCCACGUGUGGGAUUUUGUAUGUACCAUAUGAAUAAGGAUCGGCUAACUCCGUGCCAGCAGCCGCGGUAAUACGGAGGAUCCGAGCGUUAUCCGGAUUUAUUGGGUUUAAAGGGAGCGUAGGUGGAUUGUUAAGUCAGUUGUGAAAGUUUGCGGCUCAACCGUAAAAUUGCAGUUGAAACUGGCAGUCUUGAGUACAGUAGAGGUGGGCGGAAUUCGUGGUGUAGCGGUGAAAUGCUUAGAUAUCACGAAGAACUCCGAUUGCGAAGGAAGUUCACUGGACUGCAACUGACACUGAGGCUCGAAAGUGUGGGUAUCAAACAGGAUUAGAUACCCGGGUAGUC